rnacentral:rRNA from 1 species
GACGUAGGAUGCAAGCGUUAUCCGGAUUCAUUGGGUUUAAAGGGAGCGUAGGUGGUCUUAUAAGUCAGUGGUGAAAUCUCUGGGCUUAACCCAGAAAUUGCCAUUGAUACUGUAGGACUUGAGUAUAGUUGCCGUUGGCGGAAUAUGACAUGUAGUGGUGAAAUACAUAGAGAUGUCAUAGAACACCGAUUGCGAAGGCAGCUAACGGAACUAUAACUGACACUGAGGCUCGAAAGCGUGGGGAGCAAACAGG